rnacentral:misc_RNA from 1 species
AAAAUACGAAAAGUAAUAUGAAUUGCAGAAACGAAUCAUCAACUAUUUGAACGCACAUUGCGCUCUUUGGGUUAAAAAACCAAGAGCAUGUCUAUUUGAGUAUCAUGAAAUCUUCAAAGUAAAUCUUUUGUUAACUCAAUUGGUUUCUACUUUGGUAUUGGAGGUCUUUGCAGCUUCACACCUGCUCCUCUUUGUUCAUUAGCUGGAUCUCAGUGUUAUGCUUGGUUCCACUCGGCGUGAUAAGUUAUCUAUCGCUGAGGACACUGUAAAAGGUGGCCAAGGUAAAUGCAGAUGAACCGCGUCUAAUAGUCCAUUGACUUGGACAAUACUUUUAUGAUCUGAUCUCAAAUCAGGUAGGACUACCCGCUGAACUUAAGC